GAUGAACGCUGGCGGCGUGCCUAAUACAUGCAAGUCGAGCGAACAGACGAGGAGUUUGCUCCUCUGACGUUAGCAGCGGUCGGGAGAGUAACACGUGGAUAACCUACCUAUAAGACUGGGAUAACUUCGGGAAACCGGGUCUAAUACCGGAUAAUAUAUUGAACCGGAUGGGUCACUAGUGAAAUACGGUUUUUCUUUCACUUAUAGAUGGAUCCGCGCCGCAUUAGUGAGUUGGUAAGGUGAGGGCUUACCAAGGCGAAGAGUCGUAGCCGACCCGGGAGAGUGAUCGGACACAGUGGAACAGAGACACGGUCCAGACUGCGACUGGAGGCAGCAGUAGAGACUCAUGCGAGAUGGGAGAAGGGAAGACGGAGCAACGCCGCGUGAGUGAUGAAGGUCAUCGGAUGGUAAAAAUCUGUUAUUAGGGAAGAAAAAAUGUGUAAGUAACUAUGCACGUCUAGACGAUACGGAGUCAGAAAGCCGCGUAUCACUACG
rnacentral:rRNA from 1 species